AUCACCUGAGAUCUUGUUAAAACGCAGAUUCAGAUUCUGUAAGUCGGAGAGGCAGCUUGAGAUUCUGCAUUUCUAACAAGUUCCCAGAUGGUGCUAC
rfam:Camelus ferus unplaced genomic scaffold scaffold692, whole genome shotgun sequence.